CCUUUAUGGAUGAUGGUGGCUUUAACUUGCGGCCUGGCGUGGAGACCUCCAUCAGCAUGAGGAAGGAAACCCUGGACAGACUUGGGGGCGAUUAUGGCGACUGCACCAAGAAUGGCAGUGAUGUUCCUGUCGAGAACCUUUACCCUUCAAAGUACACACAGCAGGUGUGUAUUCACUCCUGCUUCCAGGAGAGCAUGAUCAAGGAGUGUGGCUGUGCCUACAUCUUCUAUCCGCGGCCCCAGAACGUGGAGUACUGUGACUACAGAAAGCACAGUUCCUGGGGUGAGACUCCAGGGAGCCCCCACCCUGCCCCAC
rnacentral:sRNA from 1 species